UACAGAGGGUGCGAGCGUUGUCCGGAAUCACUGGGCGUAAAGGGCGCGUAGGUGGCGUCGCAAGUCGAUGGUGAAAGCUCGUCGCUCAACGACGAGUCGGCCAUUGAUACUGCGAGGCUGGAGCACUGUAGAGGCAGAUGGAAUUCCGGGUGUAGCGGUGGAAUGCGUAGAGAUCUGGAGGAACACCGAUGGCGAAGGCAGCCCCCUGGGCUAACACUGACGCUCAUGCACGAAAGCGUGGGGAGCAAACAGG
rnacentral:rRNA from 1 species